rnacentral:rRNA from 1 species
AGGACGAACGCUGGCGGCGCGCUUAAUACAUGCAAGUCGAGCGAGAACCAGGGCUUCGGCUCUGGGGACAGCGGCGAACGGGUGAGUAACACGUGGGUAAUCAACCCCCGACACCGGGAUAGCCCAGGGAAACUUGGAUUAAUACCGGAUGCUCCGUCUGGCUUUAGGGCCGGCCGGAAAAGGGUAGCUUCGGCCUCCGGUCGGGGACGAGCCCGCGGCGGAUUAGCUUGUUGGUGAGGUAAAGGCUCACCAAGGCGACAAUCCGUAGCUGGUCUGAGAGGACGAUCAGCCACACUGGGACUGAGACACGGCCCAGACUCCUACGGGAGGCAGCAGUAGGGAAUCUUGCGCAAUGGGCGAAAGCCUGACGCAGCGACGCCGCGUGAGGGAUGAAGGCCUUCGGGUUGUAAACCGCUUUCAGCAGGGACGAAAUUGACGGUACCUGCAGAAGAAGCCCGCAACUCGCGCCAGCAGCCGC